AGAGUUUGAUCAUGGCUCAGGACGAACGUUGGCGGCGUGCCUAAUGCAUGCAAGUCGAACGAGGGACUCGGUCCGCGUAAGCGGACUGAGUCACCUAGUGGCGAACGGGUGAGUAACACGUGAGGAACCUGCCCCGGAGACCGGAAUAGCCCAGGGAAACUUGGAUUAAUGCCGGAUGUCCUCGGAUGAUCGCAUGGUCGACCGAGGAAACAGUCCGCUGCUCCGGGAUGGCCUCGUGGCCUAUCAGCUUGUUGGUGAGGUAACGGCUCACCAAGGCGACGACGGGUAGCUGGUCUGAGAGGACGAUCAGCCACACUGGGACUGAGACACGGCCCAGACUCCUGCGGGAGGCAGCAGCAGGGAAUUUUGCACAAUGGACGAAAGUCUGAUGCAGCGACGCCGCGUGGGGGAUGAAUGCCUUCGGGUUGUAAACCCCUUUCAGGAGGGACGAAGCGAAAGUGACGGUACCUCAGAAGAGCCC
rnacentral:rRNA from 1 species